AGCCACAGUGUGCUCUGGAUGGAGUGGAUGAGACGGAAGAAAUGCCUGAUGACACUGUCCCUGAGUCACAGUCUCAAAUUCCGCUGGGGGGAACCCGGUCAUGAGGCUGUCAUCCUCUGACUCGGAAAUGGAGCUCUUGGAGCUGAUACCCUGACUUCAUGGAGGAGUUACUUCAUGGGUGAUCUGAACUACUGGGAGCAGGCUUGAUUGAACAGUCUGACUGCUGCAGGAAGGAAGGACCUCCUUCAAACAUCGUGGGUGAAGCAGUCUGUCCCUGAAGGAGCUGCCGGUGAUGGUCCUGUUUCCUGCAGGGGGUGGGAGAUGUCCUCCAUGAUAGACAACAGCUUUGUCAUCAUCCUCCUGUCUACCACCAGCCCAGGACAGAGCUUGCUUUCUUAACCAGUUUCUUUAGUCUCUUCCUGUCUGCAGCCGUGAUGCUGCUGCUCCAGCAGACCAGUCCAUACAGGAUGGCUGAUACCACCACACAACCAUAAAAGGUCCUCAGAAUUGCUCCCUACACCCCGAAGGACCUCAGUUUCCUGAGCAGUCAGAGUGUAAAGAAUUGAAGCUGUCAGAGGCUUUCUGUGGUGAAGAGGCUGCAGGACAUCAGCUGCUCCAACAGGUGACGCCUUUGUUCUUUGGCUCCAACCAGAACCAGCAAUAAAUCAGCAUGAGCUGCAGCUUAUCCACCUCAUAGAGUGUAUAAUAAAGAAACCAAGAGGUUUUAGUUGAUAGCUGUCUCUAGUGAAUGACCAGCAGUGUCUUGUUCAGGUUGUGAGGAGAAGUAAAAAGCUUACAGCACCUGGUAUUCCCAGGUAGUCUCCCAUCCAAAUACUAACCAGGCCCAACGCUGCUUAACUUCAGAAAU